CCUACGGGUGGCAGCAGUGAGGAAUAUUGGUCAAUGGGCGCGAGCCUGAACCAGCCAAGUAGCGUGAAGGAUGACGGCCCUACGGGUUGUAAACUGCUUUUAUAAAGGAAUAAAGUGAGGCACGUGUGCCGCUUUGUAUGUACUUUAUGAAUAAGGAUCGGCUAACUCCGUGCCAGCAGCCGCGGUAAUACGGAGGAUCCGAGCGUUAUCCGGAUUUAUUGGGUUUAAAGGGAGCGUAGAUGGGUUGUUAAGUCAGUUGUGAAAGUUUGGGGCUCAACCGUAGCAUUGCAAUUGAUACUGGCAGCCUUGAGUACAGUGGAGGUAGGCGGAAUUCGUGGUGUAGCGGUGAAAUGCUUAGAUAUCACGAAGAACUCCGAUUGCGAAGGCAGCUUACUAAACUGCAACUGACGUUGAUGCUCGAAAGUGUGGGUAUCGAACAGGAUUAGAUACCCGGGUAGUC
rnacentral:rRNA from 1 species